rnacentral:rRNA from 1 species
GCCUCGUGAAUUCAUCUCCGGGGGUAGAGCACUGUUUCGGCCAGGGGGCCAUCCCGGCUUACCAACCCGAUGCAAACUGCGAAUACCGGAGAAUGUUAUCACGGGAGACACACGGCGGGUGCUAACGUCCGUCGUGAAGAGGGAAACAACCCAGACCGCCAGCUAAGGUCCCAAAGUCAUGGUUAAGUGGGAAACGAUGUGGGAAGGCCCAGACAGCCAGGAUGUUGGCUUAGAAGCAGCCAUCAUUUAAAGAAAGCGUAAUAGCUCACUGGUCGAGUCGGCCUGCGCGGAAGAUGUAACGGGGCUAAACCAU